rnacentral:lncRNA from 1 species
AGAUGAUCAGGUGUAGUAUCACAAUUUUUUCAUACAUUUCAUAUGCAAUACGUUAAUCAUUUUUUUUUGAUCAGGUGUGUAUAUUUCACAAUUGCAGUGAGAGAUUCGAAAUUCAUAGAACAUUCAUACAAAAUCAGAUGAAAGAAACAUCACUUUGGACUACAACUUUAUAGCUAAAAACCUUGUCACUCGAAGUCCUUUAAAUGUCUAAAUCUGAGCAGUUAUCUACCCCUUAUCUAAACUUUCGGAUAACAAGGCACAAAGAAAGAAAAUGACAUUGCUAUUAGAUUGUUCAUGUGAGAUGGUAAGCAAUUUAACUUUGUGCAUGCGAGGUGCUUGAGCGUUCUUUUUCAAAUAUUUUUAGAACAAAAACUAGUGAUGUUACAACCCGCAAGCAUCUAUGUUUUUUUAGUACGGAGUGGAAGUAGACGGCUUAAUAAAAGUACUCACUUCAUUUCAAAUUGGAAGUAGUUUUGACUUUUCUAAGUUUAUAGGUGUUGUCAUGUAUUUAGACGUAGUAUAUAUCUAGAUA